UCGAACGCGAAAGUGGAGCAAUCCAUGAGUAGAGUGGCAAACGGGUGAGUAACGCGUGGGUGACCUGCCUUCGAGUGGGGGAUAACGUUCCGAAAGGGACGCUAAUACCGCAUGACAUCCGGCCUUUGAAGAGGCGGAGAUCAAAGCUGGGGAUCGCAAGACCUAGCGCUCGAUGAGGGGCCCGCGUCUGAUUAGCUAGUUGGUGGGGUAACGGCUCACCAAGGCAACGAUCAGUAUCCGGCCUGAGAGGGCGGACGGACACACUGGGACUGAGACACGGCCCAGACUCCUACGGGAGGCAGCAGUGGGGAAUUGUUCGCAAUGGGCGCAAGCCUGACGACGCAACGCCGCGUGGAGGAUGAAGAUCUUCGGGUCGUAAACUCCUUUCGAUCGAGACGAACAGCCUUCGGGUAAACAAUCCGGAGGUCUGACGGUACCGAGAGAAGAAGCCCCGGCUAACUCCGUGCCAGCAGCCGCGGUAAUACGGGGGGGGCAAGCGUUGUUCGGAAUUACUGGGCGUAAAGGGCUCGUAGGCGGCCAACUAAGUCAGACGUGAAAUCCCUCGGCUUAACCGGGGAACUGCGUCUGAUACUGGAUGGCUUGAGUUUGGGAGAGGGAUGCGGAAUUCCAGGUGUAGCGGUGAAAUGCGUAGAUAUCUGGAGGAACACCGGUGGCGAAGGCGGCAUCCUGGACCAACACUGACGCUGAGUGAGCGAAAGCCAGGGGAGCAAACGGGAUUAGAUACCCCGGUAGUCCUGGCCCUAAACGAU
rnacentral:rRNA from 1 species